rnacentral:lncRNA from 1 species
UAAACUUGAAACUUGCAAUUUUACCAUUUUUAAAGAAAAAUCAUGCUAGCCGAAUUUACUAGGGGCCCUCUGCAGCCCGUAUGUAUCAUUUUUUUACAAAAAUUUCAUGUAGUUUUACAAUUUAAACAAUUUAAUCUCUAAACAUUAAAAUUACUAAAAAUCACUUAACAAAAUACUUCUAUUUAACAAGCAGGCUUAAUAAUCUAACAAAUAAAUUUAAAGACACACAUAAAUCAUUUAUGUAAAGUCCCUAAACUUUUAACAAUCUUACGAAUUGGCCCCUGGGUUAACUAUAUUAAGUUAAAACGAUCACAAAAACAUCAAA